AUUGAACGCUAGCGGCAGGCUUAACACAUGCAAGUCGAACGAGUGGCGGACGGGUGAGUAAUGUCUGGGAAACUGCCUGAUGGAGGGGGAUAACUACUGGAAACGGUAGCUAAUACCGCAUACCAUCAGAUGUGCCCAGAUGGGAUUAGCUAGUUGGUGGGGUAACGGCUCACCAAGGCGACGAUCCGUAGCUGGUCUGAGAGGAUGACCAGCCACACUGGGACUGAGACACGGCCCAGACUCCUACGGGAGGCAGCAGUGGGGAAUAUUGGACAAUGGGCGAAAGCCUGAUGCAGCCAUGCCGCGUGUAUGAAGAAGGCCUUCGGGUUGUAAAGUACUUUCGGCGGGGAGGCGUUACCCGCAGAAGAAGCACCGGCUAACUCCGUGCCAGCAGCCGCGGUAAUAC
rnacentral:rRNA from 1 species